rnacentral:rRNA from 1 species
GAUGAACGCUGGCGGCGUGCCUAAUACAUGCAAGUCGAGCGAACAGACGAGGAGCUUGCUCCUCUGACGUUAGCGGCGGACGGGUGAGUAACACGUGGAUAACCUACCUAUAAGACUGGGAUAACUUCGGGAAACCGGAGCUAAUACCGGAUAUUAUAUUGAACCGCAUGGUUCAAUAGUGAAAGACGGUUUUGCUGUCACUUAUAGAUGGAUCCGCGCCGCAUUAGCUAGUUGGUAAGGUAACGGCUUACCAAGGCAACGAUGCGUAGCCGACCUGAGAGGGUGAUCGGCCACACUGGAACUGAGACACGGUCCAGACGCCUACGGGAGGCAGCAGUAGGGAAUCUUCCGCAAUGGGCGAAAGCCUGACGGAGCAACGCCGCGUGAGUGAUGAAGGUCUUCGGAUCGUAAAACUCUGUUAUUAGGGAAGAACAAAUGUGUAAGUAACUAUGCACGUCUUGACGGUACCUAAUCAGAAAGCCACGGCUAACUACGUG